UCAUGUUAGCUACGUAAGAGUUGAAUAUUAAUAAAGAAGUCAGUUUUGAAAUAAUAACUCAACAAAUCAAGACGUCCUUAUUUGGCGUCGCUCUAUUCAUUUUGGUCCUUCGAGCCGGAUCUCUAAAAGUCAUCCCCCACCAGUGGUAAGAGACUAAGAGAUAUAAACCAGCUCCUUAAAUCUAAGGUUGCGAAAUAAAAUCUCUUGAUACCCCCCACCCCCGUGGUAAGGAACAGAGAAUAAUAAAUAAUUAAAAUAAACAUAAAUAUUCAGAAGAAUUUUUAUUGUUUUAAUUUAAAAACACCUUUGUUAGGCUUAAAAUAUAGCCAAAGGUUGUUCUCAAAAAUACCCAUUUAAAAAAAAAAAAAGUGCGGUAAGGCGUGCUUGAGGCCUAAACAUCAGCAAUACGGUCAUCGGUAUAUAGUGCGGUAAACAAAGUGGUAAUCGACAAAAUCCGGUAGUAUUGACGCAAAAAUAUAGAAUUUUCGUGCGAUAUAUAAAAAAUAUAAAAAUUUACGGCGAGUACAUCAGCGGCGACUACGGCAGCGGAAAAUACUACAGCGGCAUCUACAACUACAGCAUCGGCAGCAUCUAGAACUACAGCAUCGGCAACCGCAACUACAGCUCAAACGAAUACUUAUGUUCCUUGUGCAAUAAAUUGCAUCAUACGAUGCUUCAUAUAAAUAUACAAAAACGGGAAAAAGUCAACACUUGUGUGACUGCCACUCAGGCAUUACUUGCAACAGCACGAAUUCAAGUGAAAUCUGCCAACGGCAAUUUUGUAAAUUUAAGAGCUCUCAUUGAUAGUGGAUCGCAAAGCACUAUCAUAUCAGAGGAGGCAGCACAAAUACUAAAACUGCCAAAAAUCAAAACUAAGACGGAAAUUAGUGGGAUAUCUUCUACGGAUACUUGUGUAUAACCUCCUAACUCGAAGAAGUCGUUUGUGACUGAGGCAAUAAUAUUGCCCAAAUUAAUUACAGAAGUUAAUAUAGAUAAGACUAAAUGGCAAAAUUAUUCAUUAGCUGACCCGGACUUUAAUAAGCCUGGCAGAGAGUUUAUGUAAUCAUUGGAGCCGAUCUAUAUACACAAAUUUUAAAGAAGGGUAUAGCAAAAAUUAAUGGUCUGUUAGGCCAGAAUACAAAUUUCGGUUGGAUCAUUUCUGGAUGCACUAAGUCAAAGGGUACUCAUUCGAUAGUGGCAACUACUAUCGAAGUGCAAGACUUAUAACGUUUUUGGGACCUAGAAAAUGAAGAUAAAAAUGAUGUACAGACCGAAGUUUGUGAAAACAAUUUUAUGAAAACAACCUCUAUUUCAAAUGGUAGGUAUAUUGUUCGAAUUCCAUUUAAGGACGAAACAUCCUUAGGGGAAUCAAAGCCGCAAGCAAUGGCUCGAUUGAUAAACAUGGAGAAGAAGUUUCCGCGAAAUGAAAAACUUCGAGAUGCCUAUAAAUUGUUUAUGAAAGAAUAUAUUGAUCUUGGGCAUAUGGUUGAGUCGAAGAGGGAGGGAAAAUACUACCUACCCCAUCAAGCCGUACUUAGAGAUUCCAGUCUAACUACAAAGUUAAGAGUAGUGUUUGGCAAAAACGACUAACAAUAAAAGCUUAAGUGAUAUCAUGUGGGUUGGGCCUAGAGUCCAGAAAGAAAUCUUUGAUAUAAUGUUGAAUUGGCGUAAAUGGGAAAACGUCAUAUCUGGGGACAUAGAAAAAAUGUACAGACAAAUAUUCAUUGAUGAAAAAUAUCAAGAAUACCAAUAUAUAUUAUGGAGAGACUCUCCUGAAGACAAAAUAAAAUCGUACAAAUUAAAAACAGUAACCUAUGGGACUGCCUCAGCUCCAUAUUUAGCUACUAGAGUUCCAGUAGAUAUAGCAGAUAAUUGUAAGAAUGAUGAAAUUGGAAGAAUAAUUAGAAAUGAUUUCUACAUGGAUGAUCUCAUGACAGGAGCAAAUUCAGUGGAAAGUGCCAUAAACAUUAUAGAGCAAAUUUCUAGCGAAUUAAAAAAAGGUAAUAUGAAUUUACGGAAGUGGAUUUCGAAUAAUAAAGAAAUAAUAAAGUAGUGGAAGAUACUGGCGACAACAAGGUAAUAAGUAUCAAAGAAAAUGAGUUCGUGAAAACAUUGGGGCUUCAAUGGGAACCACAAAAGGAUGAGUUUAAGUUCAACGUUAAUUUAGGAAAUGCUAAAAAAGAAAAUAAACGAACAGUACUUUCCACCAUAUCGAAAAUUUAUGAUCCGUUAGGAUGGUUAGCUCCAGUAACCAUCACAGGAAAGCUGUUUGUGCAGAAACUUUGGCUGGCUGAAAAUAGCUGGAAUCAAGAGUUAUCAAAAGACAGUGCCCAGGAGUGGGCGGGAUAUAAAGAAAAACUUUUACUGUUGAAAAAAAUCAGAAUACCUAGAUGGAUCCAAAGUAAAUUAAAUGCGAUGAUUGAGCUGCAUGGGUUUGCAGACGCGUCUGAAAAAGCAUAUGCGGCAGUAUAUGCUAAAGUAGGAAGAUUGGUUACAAUAGUAGCUAGUAAAAGCAGGGUAAAUCCAAUCAAAAAUAAGAAAACAAUUCCGAAACUAAAACUGUGCGCAGCUCAUCUGUUGAGUAAACUAAUACAAAAGGUCAAAGAAUUGAUUGAUAAUGCAGCCAAGAUAUACGCGUGGAGUGAUUCUACUAUAACGUUGGCUUGGAUUAAAAGUGGUCAAAGCAAAGUAAAAUUGAUUAAACAUAGGACAGAUUAUAUUCGUAGAUAUACAGAAGUAGAGUGGAAUCAUGUUAAAUCAGAAGAUAAUCCAGCGGACGCAGCGUCAGGGGGAAUUUCGCCAAGUGAACUGAUAAAUUUUGAUCUUUGGUGGAAUGGGCCAAAUUGGUUAAAAGAAUUAAAAGAAAAUUGGCCGUCUCAGUCAAAAGCUGAGGAAGAAAAAGGUGUCCAUACCGUGCUGACAGCUGAUAGGGAUAUUAUUCAUAAUCUCUUAGAAAAAUAUUCCUGCAUACAAAAAUUAAAAAGAGUUAUAUGCUACAUAGUUCGAUUUAUAAAUAUGAAAACAAAGAAAAUAUCUUAUCCGGGUUAUUUAUCGGUAAAGGAAAUUAGAUAUGCAGAACAUAUCUAUAUAUAUAAAAGAAAGUCGUGUUAGUUACACCACUUAUAACUCAAGAACGGCAGAACAGAUUUGGCUGAAAAUUGGUAGGGAGGUAGCUUAGAGCCAGGAGACGGACAUAGGAUACUUUUUAUCCCGUUCGACAGCGUUCCUCUGUGACUUGGCAUGAAACGUCAGUCACUAUAAAACUUGGUAUAAUAAAAAAGAAUCCGACUUGGAAUAACAAAACGCAAAUGACAGCUAUGUAAUUGACGUAAAAUGACAGCUAUGUAAUGACGUAUGGAUGACAAUUUGAUAUUUGUAAGAAAUCAAUAUUAAAACUAUUUCUAUUAAAUAAAUAAUUAACAAGUGGAUUGAAGUGAAGUGAAGUUUAAUUAAUAAUGCCGCGACCAAGACGAUCGAAUCUUUCCCGACAAAGCCGUAAUGCAAGAAGAAUACAAAAUACUGCAAAUGAAAGGACUGAAGAAGAACAAGAAAGUGCACGUGAACAGCGCCGCAAUAGUAUGGCUCGACUUCGUGCUUCUCAAUCACGAGAGCAAAGUGAAGCAGCCCGUGAAACAGCUCGGUUGGCAAUGCAGAAUCGUCGAGCGAACAACAGAAGUCAACAAAUAGAUAAUUUGCGACGCAGAACAAGAUAUUUAGCUGAUUUGAAUCGAGCUGCGUUUCGAUACGAUUGCAGCAAUGAUUACAGCUUGCAUCCUAGCGUUUGCAUUGGGCAAAUGGACGUUGUUUGCGAGUAUUGUGGUGCAUUAAAGUUUUCCGGAGAAAUGCCUGGAUUAUGCUGCGUUAAUGGUAAAGUGAAAUUGCCAGUGCUGACUCCGCCACAUGAGCCAUUGUAUUCAUUGCUUUGCGGCGAAACACAAGAAUCACGCCACUUUCUUGCAAAUACUCGAAAAUACAAUAGUUGUUUCCAAAUGACGUCAUUUGGGGCAGACAUUAUCGAAGAAGGAGGUUUUAAUCCGACAUUUAAGAUACAAGGACAGAUUCACCAUCGAAUUGGAUCAUUACUACCUUUCGAAGAUACACAGAAUAAAUUUUUACAAAUAUGUUUCAUGGGCAACAUAGAAGAACAACUUGAUCGACGCCUAGGGAUCAAUGCAGGAAUGAAGCGAGCAAUUCUUCAAGACUUGCAGUGUCUGCUUCAUGAACAUCAUGCGUUGGUCAGGUUGUUUAAGAGUGCUUUAGAGCGCAUGCCAAAUGAUGACUAUAAAGUUGUCAUCAAACAUUUAAUGCUCCAACAGUAGACGAAGUUGCCAUCCUGAUUGUUGGUGAACAAUUGGAAAAACGCGAUAUUGUGCUUACACGUCGCGAUACUGGGCAACUGCAACAAAUAUCGGAAACUCAUUGAUCAUUUGACGCAUUGCAAUACCCACUGAUAUUUUGGCAAGGAGAAGAUGGAUAUUAUUUUAAUAUUAAAAUGAUAAAUCCAUUGAAUGGUGAAGAAACUACAAAGAAAGUUAGCUCAAUGAAUUAUUAUGCAUAUCGUUUGAUGAUUCGUCAAAAUGCUGACAACUAUUUGCUGCGGUUUCGUCGAUUGUUUCAGCAGUAUUGCGUUGACAUGUAUGUAAAAAUAGAAACGGAACGUUUAACAUUUAUUAGGUUGAACCAAGCCAAACUGCGUUCUGAGGAGUACAUCCAUUUACGUGAUGCAGUUAGUACUGAAGGAAGUGCAGCUAAUAUUGGUCGAUUAACUAUUCUGCCGGCGAGGUACAUUGGU